rnacentral:rRNA from 1 species
UACGUAGGGGGCAAGCGUUGUCCGGAAUCAUUGGGCGUAAAGGGUGCGUAGGCGGCUUCCUAAGUUUGAUGUGAAAUCCUGGGGCUCAACCCUGGAACUGCAUUGAAUACUGGGAGGCUAGAGUACUGGAGAGGAAACUGGAAUUUACGGUGUAGCAGUGAAAUGCGUAGAGAUCGUAAGGAAGACCAGUGGCGAAGGCGAGUUUCUGGACAGUUACUGACGCUGAGGCACGAAGGCCAGGGGAGCAAACGGG